rnacentral:rRNA from 1 species
CCCUUAGAGUUUGAUCAUGGCUCAGAUUGAACGCUGGCGGCAGGCCUAACACAUGCAAGUCGAGCGGAUGAUGGGAGCUUGCUCCCGGAUUCAGCGGCGGACGGGUGAGUAAUGCCUAGGAAUCUGCCUGGUAGUGGGGGACAACGUUUCGAAAGGAACGCUAAUACCGCAUACGUCCUACGGGAGAAAGCAGGGGACCUUCGGGCCUUGCGCUAUCAGAUGAGCCUAGGUCGGAUUAGCUAGUUGGUGGAGUAAAGGCCUACCAAGGCGACGAUCCGUAACUGGUCUGAGAGGAUGAUCAGUCACACUGGAACUGAGACACGGUCCAGACUCCUACGGGAGGCAGCAGUGGGGAAUAUUGGACAAUGGGCGAAAGCCUGAUCCAGCCAUGCCGCGUGUGUGAAGAAGGUCUUCGGAUUGUAAAGCACUUUAAGUUGGGAGGAAGGGCAGUAAGUUAAUACCUUGCUGUUUUGACGUUACCAACAGAAUAAGCACCGGCUAACUUCGUGCCAGCAGCCGCGGUAAUACGAGGGGUGCAAGCGUUAAUCGGAAUUACUGGGCGUAAAGCGCGCGUAGGUGGUUUGGUAAGAUGGAUGUG